UGUUGAUACAUGGAAUUCAGGGCUCCUCCUCUUAGGUUCUCUCAUUUUGGGAAUCUCACCUGACAUCAUUCAGUGACUAUGGUUGACCCAAAUUCUAUCCUCAGGUUCUUCAAGCCAAUAAGAUUGUGGAUUUUCUAUUGAAGUUUUAGCUACCCUAAAUGAUGAAGACCUGUGCCUAUCGUCAGUUGAAAAGUCAUAUAUAUGGGAAGCCCACUCCGUGUGAUUCCAUUCUACCAAGUGUUGAUUUGUCUCCAACGUCUGUCUACUUUUGGACACUAUCUAGUGCCUUCAGCAUCCCUAAAAGGAAAGCUAAGCAACUUAUCUUAAGAAGGACAAAGUUGGAAAUGACACCUGAGUGGCUCAGUCAGUUAAGUGUCAGACUCUUGAUUAGAGCUCAAGGCAUGAUCUCAGGGUCAUGGGAUCGAGCCCAACAUCAAGCUCAUCACUCAGAGGGAAGUCUGCUGGAGACUCUCUCUCUCCUUUUGACCCUUCCCUGCACUCUCUCUCUCUCUCAAAUAAAUAAAUCUUAAAAAAUAAAAAAGUCCAGUGGCGCCUAAUUAACUCCAUCAGUUAAGCUGCUGACUCUUGAUUUUGGCUCAGGUCAUGUUCUCAGGGUCCUGGGAUUGAGCCUCAUUUGGGCUCCACACUCAGGGGAGGAGUCUGCUUCAAGAUUCUCUCUUUCCCUCUACCCCUCCCCCUGCUCUCUCUCUCCCUAAAAUAAAUAAAUAAAUCUAGAAGAAGAAGUGUGGGGGGAGGAGGGGAAGAAAAUGAAGGAAGUUCGAUUAAAAAUUCAGAAUAUGAAGGUGUUUAGGUGGCCCAGUUGGUUAAGCAUCUGCCUUUAGCUCAGGUCAUGAGCCCAGUGUCCUGAGAUCAAGCCCCACAUCAGGUUCCUUGCUCAAGAGGAAGCCUACUUUCCCCUCUUCCUCUGCCACUCACCCUCCUUGUGCUCUCUGUCUCUCUUUCUCUUUGUCAAAUAAAUUUAAAAAAAAAAAAUCUUAAAAAAAAAUUCAGGACAUCUGUUUUUAAAACUCAUGCUCUUAGACUCUUAAUGUCACAAAACAAACUGAG
rnacentral:lncRNA from 1 species